GUGGGGAAUAUUGGACAAUGGGGGGAACCCUGAUCCAGCCAUGCCGCGUGUGUGAAGAAGGCCUUUUGGUUGUAAAGCACUUUAAGCGAGGAGGAGGCUCCUGUAGAUAAUACCUACAGUGAGUGGACGUUACUCGCAGAAUAAGCACCGGCUAACUCUGUGCCAGCAGCCGCGGUAAUACAGAGGGUGCGAGCGUUAAUCGGAUUUACUGGGCGUAAAGCGUGCGUAGGCGGCUUCGUAAGUUGGAUGUGAAAUCCCCGAGCUUAACUUGGGAAUUGCAUUCAAAACUGCGAGGCUAGAGUAUGGGAGAGGAUGGUAGAAUUCCAGGUGUAGCGGUGAAAUGCGUAGAGAUCUGGAGGAAUACCGAUGGCGAAGGCAGCCAUCUGGCCUAAUACUGACGCUGAGGUACGAAAGCAUGGGGAGCAAACAGGAUUAGAAACCCGUGUAGUCC
rnacentral:rRNA from 1 species